GUGGGUAUAGCUUAGUGGUAGAGCAUGUGCUUAGCAUGCACGAGGUCCUGGGUCCAAUCUCCAGUACCUCCA
rnacentral:tRNA from 1 species